rnacentral:misc_RNA from 1 species
AUACCCCUUUAUAAUGGGUGGUUAAUUGGGUAAGAGUAAAACUUUCCAUCUUAUUUAUAUCUAAUUUUAGCACUUUUGAAGAAGAGUUGCUACCUAUGCUUCUCUCAUGAAGCAAGAGGCACGGAGCCACAGACAGAACAGUAAGAAAGGAGACAGGGUGCUAUAUUGAAUAAGGAUUCCUUCAUUGUAAAUUUCCGGGAGGGCUUGUAAUCCCCAACUCACAAUGGGGAAAUCUUUCUUUUGCACAAAGGCUUACUCUUGAGUUAGUAGUAAACAGAAAACUAAACUCUAAUAGAACUCAUGAAAUGAGUGAAGCAACUUAAGAAAUCAUUCAAAAAAG